rnacentral:rRNA from 1 species
UGCUGACAUAAGUAACGAUAAAGCGGGUGAAAAGCCCGCUCGCCGGAAGACCAAGGGUUCCUGUCCAACGUUAAUCGGGGCAGGGUGAGUCGACCCCUAAGGCGAGGCCGAAAGGCGUAGUCGAUGGGAAACGGGUUAAUAUUCCCGUACUUGGUGUUACUGCGAAGGGGGGACGGAGAAGGCUAUGUUGGCCGGGCGACGGUUGUCCCGGUUUAAGCGUGUAGGUGUGUGUUCCAGGUAAAUCCGGUUCACUUUAACACUGAGGCGUGAUGACGAGGCACUACGGUGCUGAAGCAACAAAUGCCCUGCUUCCAGGAAAAGCCUCUAAGCAUCAGGUAACAUCAAAUCGUACCCCAAACCGACACAGGUGGUCAGGUAGAGAAUACCAAGGCGCUUGAGAGAACUCGGGUGAAGGAACUAGGCAAAAUGGUGCCGUAACU